rnacentral:rRNA from 1 species
GGGUUGUGAGGUUAAGCGACUAAGCGUACACGGUGGAUGCCCUGGCAGUCAGAGGCGAUGAAGGACGUGCUAAUCUGCGAUAAGCGCCGGUAAGGUGAUAUGAACCGUUAUAACCGGCGAUUUCCGAAUGGGGAAACCCAGUGUGAUUCGUCACACUAUCAUUAACUGAAUCCAUAGGUUAAUGAGGCGAACCGGGGGAACUGAAACAUCUAAGUACCCCGAGGAAAAGAAAUCAACCGAGAUUCCCCCAGUAGCGGCGAGCGAACGGGGAGGAGCCCAGAGCCUGAAUCAGCAUGUGUGUUAGUGGAAGCGUCUGGAAAGGCGCGCGAUACAGGGUGACAGCCCCGUACACAAAAGCGCAUGUGCUGUGAGCUCGAUGAGUAGGGCGGGACACGUGGUAUCCUGUCUGAAUAUGGGGGGACCAUCCUCCAAGGCUAAAUACUCCUGACUGACCGAUAGUGAACCAGUACCGUGAGGGAAAGGCGAAAAGAACCCCGGCGAGGGGAGUGAAAAAGAACCUGAAACCGUGUACGUACAAGCAGUGGGAGCACCCUUCGGGGUGUGACUGCGUACCUUUUGUAUAAUGGGUCAGCGACUUAUAUUCUGUAGCAAGGUUAACCGUAUAGGGGAGCCGGAGGGAAACCGAGUCUUAACCGGGCGUUAAGUUGCAGGGUAUAGACCCGAAACCCGGUGAUUCAGCCAUGGGCAGGUUGAAGGUUGGGUAACACUAACUGGAGGACCGAACCGACUAAUGUUGAAAAAUUAGCGGAUGACCUGUGGCUGGGGGUGAAAGGCCAAUCAAACCGGGAGAUAGCUGGUUCUCCCCGAAAGCUAUUUAGGUAGCGCCUCGUGAAUUCAUCUCCGGGGGUAGAGCACUGUUUCGGCUAGGGGGCCAUCCCGGCUUACCAACCCGAUGCAAACUGCGAAUACCGGAGAAUGUUAUCACGGGAGACACACGGCGGGUGCUAACGUCCGUCGUGAAGAGGGAAACAACCCAGACCGCCAGCUAAGGUCCCAAAGUCAUGGUUAAGUGGGAAACGAUGUGGGAAGGCCCAGACAGCCAGGAUGUUGGCUUAGAAGCAGCCAUCAUUUAAAGAAAGCGUAAUAGCUCACUGGUCGAGUCGGCCUGCGCGGAAGAUGUAACGGGGCUAAACCAUGCACCGAAGCUGCGGCAGCGACGCUGAUGCGUUGUUGGGUAGGGGAGCGUUCUGUAAGCCUGCGAAGGUGACCUGUGAGGGUUGCUGGAGGUAUCAGAAGUGCGAAUGCUGACAUAAGUAACGAUAAAGCGGGUGAAAAGCCCGCUCGCCGGAAGACCAAGGGUUCCUGUCCAACGUUAAUCGGGGCAGGGUGAGUCGACCCCUAAGGCGAGGCCGAAAGGCGUAGUCGAUGGGAAACGGGUUAAUAUUCCCGUACUUGGUGUUACUGCGAAGGGGGGACGGAGAAGGCUAUGUUGGCCGGGCGACGGUUGUCCCGGUUUAAGCGUGUAGGUGUGUGUUCCAGGUAAAUCCGGUUCACUUUAACACUGAGGCGUGAUGACGAGGCACUACGGUGCUGAAGCAACAAAUGCCCUGCUUCCAGGAAAAGCCUCUAAGCAUCAGGUAACAUCAAAUCGUACCCCAAACCGACACAGGUGGUCAGGUAGAGAAUACCAAGGCGCUUGAGAGAACUCGGGUGAAGGAACUAGGCAAAAUGGUGCCGUAACUUCGGGAGAAGGCACGCUGACACGUAGGUGAAGUGAUUUACUCACGGAGCUGAAGUCAGUCGAAGAUACCAGCUGGCUGCAACUGUUUAUUAAAAACACAGCACUGUGCAAACACGAAAGUGGACGUAUACGGUGUGACGCCUGCCCGGUGCCGGAAGGUUAAUUGAUGGGGUCAGCGCAAGCGAAGCUCCUGAUCGAAGCCCCGGUAAACGGCGGCCGUAACUAUAACGGUCCUAAGGUAGCGAAAUUCCUUGUCGGGUAAGUUCCGACCUGCACGAAUGGCGUAAUGAUGGCCAGGCUGUCUCCACCCGAGACUCAGUGAAAUUGAACUCGCUGUGAAGAUGCAGUGUACCCGCGGCAAGACGGAAAGACCCCGUGAACCUUUACUAUAGCUUGACACUGAACAUUGAGCCUUGAUGUGUAGGAUAGGUGGGAGGCUUUGAAGUGUGGACGCCAGUCUGCAUGGAGCCGACCUUGAAAUACCACCCUUUAAUGUUUGAUGUUCUAACGUGGACCCGUAAUCCGGGUUGCGGACAGUGUCUGGUGGGUAGUUUGACUGGGGCGGUCUCCUCCUAAAGAGUAACGGAGGAGCACGAAGGUUGGCUAAUCCUGGUCGGACAUCAGGAGGUUAGUGCAAUGGCAUAAGCCAGCUUGACUGCGAGCGUGACGGCGCGAGCAGGUGCGAAAGCAGGUCAUAGUGAUCCGGUGGUUCUGAAUGGAAGGGCCAUCGCUCAACGGAUAAAAGGUACUCCGGGGAUAACAGGCUGAUACCGCCCAAGAGUUCAUAUCGACGGCGGUGUUUGGCACCUCGAUGUCGGCUCAUCACAUCCUGGGGCUGAAGUAGGUCCCAAGGGUAUGGCUGUUCGCCAUUUAAAGUGGUACGCGAGCUGGGUUUAGAACGUCGUGAGACAGUUCGGUCCCUAUCUGCCGUGGGCGCUGGAGAACUGAGGGGGGCUGCUCCUAGUACGAGAGGACCGGAGUGGACGCAUCACUGGUGUUCGGGUUGUCAUGCCAAUGGCACUGCCCGGUAGCUAAAUGCGGAAGAGAUAAGUGCUGAAAGCAUCUAAGCACGAAACUUGCCCCGAGAUGAGUUCUCCCUGAGACUUAGAGUCUCCUGAAGGAACGUUGAAGACGACGACGUUGAUAGGCCGGGUGUGUAAGCGCAGCGAUGCGUUGAGCUAACCGGUACUAAUGAACCGUGAGGCUUAACCUUACAACGCCGAAG